GUUGGUACGGCUGCUGCUCGAUAACAACUUAUUAGAAGGAAGCAUACCUCAAUCUCUGAAGAAUAUAAAAGGUCUUGCAUUACUGAACCUAACAAUGAAUAAGCUAUCUGGUAGUAUUCCUGAUGCCCUUGCUAGCAUUGGCCACCUGCAACAACUGUAUCUUGCACACAACAACUUGUCAGGUUCCAUCCCCAAAGUUCUACAGAAUUUGACAUUGUUGGCAAAACUGGAUUUGUCCUUCAAUGAUCUGCAAGGCGAAGUGCCAAAAGGGGGUCCUUUUGCAAAUGCAACUCACUUGUCAAUUGAUGGAAAUGAUGAGCUUUGUGGCGGAAACCCUCAACUUCAUUUAGCUCCGUGCUCCACAGCAGCUGCGGAGAAGAACAGAAGGCGAAUGUCAAGGUCACUUAUGGUCACCGUAGCGUCAAUCUGCGCACUUCUAUUCUUAGGUUUAGUAGUUUGUCUUAUCCAUUUGAUCCACAAGAGGCUCAGACAAGGAAAGGAAAAUCAACUCAUUCCCACAGUAAUUGAUGAACAGCACGAAAGGGUUUCAUAUCAAGCAUUAGCAAAUGGGACUGACCAUUUUUCGCAGGUUAAUCUGCUCGGACAAGGAAGCUAUGGUGCAGUUUAUAAGUGCACUUUACAAGACAAGGGAAUUACCGCAGCUGUAAAGGUAUUCAACGUGUGGCAAUCUGGGUCUACUAGAAGUUUUGUGGCUGAAUGUGAGGCACUGCGAAGGGUGCGCCACCGAUGUCUCAUAAAGAUCAUCACCUGUUGCUUAAGCAUUGAUCACCAAGGCCAAGAAUUCAAGGCACUGGUUUUUGAGUUCAUGCCCAAUGGUAACCUAAAUGGUUGGCUGCAUCGAGCAUCCAAAAUACAGAGUCUGAGCAAUACGCUCAGCUUAGCUCAGAGACUGGACAUUGCGGUAGAUAUCAUGGAUGCUUUGGAUUAUCUUCACAAUCAGUGUCAACCGCCUAUUAUCCAUUGUGAUCUCAAACCAAGUAACAUCCUCCUUGCCGAAAGUAUGAGUGCUCGGGUUGGAGAUUUCGGCAUAUCAAAAAUCCUUCCUGAUGACACUAGCAAAACUAUGCUGAAUUCGGUUAGCUUCACUGGACUAAGAGGUUCCAUUGGAUACGUCGCUCCAGGUAACAGAAACUAACACUGAUAUUGCUAUGUUCAGUUUUUAACUUCCAUUUUGCCAAGUCCAGUUAUCUCGGCAUGAAUCGUUCGUAAGUAGCUUGCCAUGAAUCCACUGACCAAAUAGUUUCUGAAAUCUCAAUUGACUGCAGAGUACGGCGAGGGUCGCGCCGUCUCAACUCUUGGAGAUGUUUACAGCCUCGGCAUACUGUUGCUUGAGAUGUUCACCGGGAUGAGCCCUACUGACGACAUGUUCAAAGGCUCCUUGGACCUUCAUAAGUUCGCCGAGGCCGCUCUCCCCGACAGAGCCUUGAAGGUAGCCGACCCGGCAAUCUGGCUUCAUGAAGAAGCAAAGGGGGAAGACCCGGCCACGGUGAGAAGCAGAAGCGAGAGGUGCUUGGCUUCAGUGGUCGGGCUUGGCGUGUCCUGCUCAAAGCAGCUGCCAAGGGAGCGGACGGCGAUGCGGGAUGCUGCCGCUGAGAUGCGUGCGAUCAGAGAUGCCUUCCUGGUUCAAUGUGCAACAGAGACUUGGCCUGCAGUCGGCACCAGCGGCCUUGGAAGCACAGACACUUGAAUGGUGGACGGAGCUACGGUCUCUUGACGCACCAAGGAGCCACCGGACUAGCUGCUCUGCAACUAACAGGGUGGAGAAAGCGCCCCUUAAUGAAAAGAAAAACAGCCGGUGCAAGGCUUUAUACGGAGGGGUGUUUGGAUCCCCGGACUAAAUUUUAGUUCCUGUCACAUUGUCCAUCGAAUAUUUCGAUACUAAUUAGGUCUAUUAAACAUAGACUAUUUACAAAAUCCAUUACAUAGAUGGAGGUUAAACGGCGAGACGAAUCUAUUAAGCCUAAUUAGUCCAUGAUUUGACAAUGUGCUGCUACAGUAACCAUUUGCUAACGAUGGAUUAAUUAGGCUUAAUAAAUUCGUCUCACCGUUUAGCCUCCAUCUGUGUAAUUAGUUUUAUAAUUAACUCAUAUUUAAUCCUCCUAAUUAGUCUUCGAAUAUUCGAUGUGACACGGACUAAACUUUAGCUCCAGGAUCCAAACAUCCCCAAAGAAUGUGACAGCCACUGCGUGUAUCCGAGAGCCUUAUCUAAUCUACCAAUGAUUGUUGUGUAUGGAUGCAUAUAGAUUAUGCACGAACUCCCUCCGUCCCAAAAAAAUGUACUACUAUUUAUAAUGUAUAAUAAGUAUCAUUAGAUUGAGUAUUGAGUAUACUUUCCUAAUACAUUUAUUUGAAGAUACAAAUGUUGAUACUAUUUUCUAUAUUCUUAGUCAAAUUUAAAAACGUUGACUCCUCGAAAAGUGAGAUGUGUGUUUAUUUUGGGACGGAGGGAGUACCCGGGGAUUAGUCACGAUACAAGUAGGGAUUAGCAAGCACCAAAACCUCAUUCAUUGCCCUUCGAUCGCUCAAAUAAAAGCAACCAUUGCAUAUGGUGGCGAUGCGCUUGCGGGCCUUUCUCCAACCUUCAUUCUCCAACCUCUCUGCUCUCGCGGGCCUUGAACUCGCAUGGAACAGUUUUAGUGGAAACGUACCCCAACUUUGAAGAGAUUGCAAAGCCUCAUUUUACCUAUCCUUAAGUGGCAAUAAGCUAGGAUCGAAUGAUAAGGACGGAUUGGAAUUCAUCACCAUGCUGGCAAACUGCAGCCAGCUCCAGCAACUGGCUUUUGACAAUAGUUCAUUCAUCGGGGAACUUCCUACUCAAUUGCAAAUCUAUCGACAACACUCCAAUUGCUCUGUAUAGGAAACAAUUGGAUUUCGGGAUUUAUUCCAUCCAGCAUCGGUAAUUUGGUUGGUCUAGAACUGCUUACGUUGGCAAAUACUUUCAUAUCCGUGAAGGAUCGAAACUGGCGACCAGAGGGGGGUGAAUGGGAGCCUCACAAAAAUUCGCGGAAGCAAUUUGAGUAAAAUUAGAAUAAAAUUUAUUUGCAAUUUCCAACACAGAUAAAAAGACAGGGGUAAGCAAAAAGCUAAAUCACGUGAUAAAGACCCACUAAACAAAAUAUUAAACAAAAGAGCAUAUGGUUGCAAAAAGGUUGUUUACUGUUCAUAGAAAGUGACCUCACCUUCCCUGGUGCAUGCGUGAGUGAUGUUUCUAGAAACAAUAUUAAUGUGUAAUAUUGAAAGUGCUAAUGAGAAGGAAAUUUGCAAAGCAGAGACACGACCUGCAAGUCACCUGCAGGCACAUGCGUGCGCUGUUCGGAAGCAGAACGCUGUUCCUGGCCGGUCACCUCCCUUGUACGGGGCACACACAGUAAAAUCCAGAGACGUGCGCUUCAGUAGAGCAGGCAGCGUACGAACUAAUCAUACGAGCUCAUCGGCGGCUGGCCCUGGUGCGACGCUGCGAGCCGUGGCUGACCGCCAGGAGCAGACCUUGUCCUCCCGCAACGAUGUGUCCCUGAACAGCAAAACGGGAACAACCAAACCGGCGGCGCAAACAACGAAAACAAAGGGAACGGAGGAAAAUCGGAUCUCGCACGAACAAAGAACAAAUCACAAGGACGAAUGAUUAAAGUGUAAUUAUUCUACAAAAGUGCAUCUAGCCUCCGCCCGAUCGUCCUCCCUCUCUUCAUUGGAGAGAUCAACAAAAAUCCCUCGCUAGUAUUGAAACCCUAGGCUAGACAAAAAGCGAGAAAGCAAGAGAACCCUCUCAACCCUAGGUGCCACAUAUUUAUAUCCUUAGGGUGGCACGACCUAUUUACACAUAACCCCCUACGCUAAAUAAAUCUAACGUAGGGGCGUAAAUUCCAAUUACGUCCUCCAUGGUAAAUUCCGCGAUGUCCGCAAUCCCUCCAUCUCUACGACGUGAUCUUCGCGAUGUCGCCGCACGACCAUCCGAAAUCGUAUCGCGAUCGUCGGAAUUUCCAUCUUGGGCCAACGCCUGUCGCACGGGCGUCCCGAUACGAUGCAUGGCUUUGUGGCUCAACCAGCGAACCCCGGAUUUUGUGGCAUAAUCCGGAAACCUCCCUCGACGUCCUCCCGCCGUGUAGCCAGGUACAGUAGAUGUAUACCGCACGAUCGCCUGUCCCUCGAACGCAAGCCUCGAUCCGCCCUUCUCCGCCCCCGCGGUUUUUCAACGUGGCAUCCUAUCUUCGUUCUUCACUCGUCGCCGCAUGUACCUUGUCUCCACCUGUCACCUGCAACCACAACCUACCAAGAGACACGUCACACGCACACCGUGUUAUCAAUCGCUCAUCACCAAGGUGCUAGCCCACCGGCAUCUCAAUCUCCCCCUUGAUGAGUGCAUUGACAACACCACACCGCACAAAUUUAUUCGUACGGAAAAAGAAAAAUAAAAAGAAAGAAAAAGAAACGAUCUUAAUCCCCAAAGACAUGGGCUAGCGAAAAAGCUAGGCUCGACACAAUAAAGACAGAAAUUCACUCUCCCCAAAGUGAAUCAAAAGCCAUAUCAAUCUCCCAAAAGCAAUCUCAGCAGCAAAACUCACAAAUUUCAGCAAAACUCCCCCUACAAGAAUGAACGAACUUCCCCAGCAAGAAUGAAGUUGUGCGCUACUCACUCUCCCCCUUGUUGACAAAGCACUCCAUCAAGAUAAAAGGCAAGGAACCAAUUUAGAGAAAAGCAUGUGAGAAAGCACAAGUUGAAGCUUCUGAGACAUAUGCCAAAUACUUAUAAAAGAACAACACUAGCUAUCCAGAGAAGGAACAAUACAAUGCCAUGACCAAUAAAAAUUUAGAACUGAAAUCUGUUUGAAAACUAAUGUGCCAGGCAAAAACGUGCACAUUCCAAACUCAGUGCAAAGCUGAAGACAAAACAUAUAGCAAGCUCACACGACAGAUACACAGCUUCAGUCCAAGUUCACUGCAACGCCCACAAAUGCAUUCACUUGUCAUAUUUAAUUCUAACUUUUGUGAGCAUGAUAAGCAGGGACAUGGGAAGCAAGAGUUGUGCCCAGCCAGUUUGUUUAAUUUUGUUUAUGAGCGAGAACCAGCAGGGACAUGGGAAAAACAGAGUUGCACCCAUAUUUAAAUUCUGAGUAAGGCAAGCAGAUCAUGAGCUAAAUAGCAGAGAUAUGGGAAUUCAGAGUUUUUGCUCACAACCAUACUAUGUACUCCCGAGUUAAAACUUGUAUUGUGAGUUACAUUUGCAGUGAAAACCCAUUAAAAGAAGCUGACUACCGAACCAUGAGCAAGAUAUAUGUCAAGUAUUCAACAAGUCACUAGAUCCAGAAAAGCAAACAUAGCCCAACAUAAUUUUUUAAGUAUAUAUCUGUGCUUUUUUUAAAAUAAAAAUUGGUCAAGCAAAGCAUUCAAACCUCUCCAAAAGCAUCGAUUGCAAACUAGCCAAAACAAGUAUAAAGCAUAUGUAACUGAAGCAACUUACAAUGAUACUAGAAUGGGUAACACACCCCGAACUCACCACGCAGACGUGCAAACGUGGUUUGAUCUAGUGGCUUAGUCAAAAUAUCAGCAAGUUGCUGACUAGUAUCAAUAUGCUUAAGAUCAAUAUCACCCUUUUCAAAAUGAUCCCUCAGAAAAUGAUGACGAACCUCAAUGUGUUUCGUCUUAGAGUGAAGCACAGGAUUCUUUGCAACACUUAUAGCGCUAGUGCUGUCACACAAGAGAGGAACGCGAGAAAACGACAAACCAAAAUCGCGAAGGGUAGCUAUCAUCCAUAAAAGCUGAGAACAACAACUAGCAGCAGCAACAUACUCAGCCUCUGUAGUAGAUUGAGCAACAUUAGAUUGUUUUCUAGAGGACCAAGAAACAAGCGAAGAACCCAAAAAUUGGCAAGUACCCGAUGUAGACUUUCUAUCCAAACGACACCCAGCAAAAUCAGCAUCCGAAUAACCACACAAACUGAGAGUCGAAGCAGCAGAGUACCAAAGGCCAAAUGCAGGAGUAAAUCGGAGAUACCUCAUUAUGCGCUUCACCGCCUGACGGUGAGAAGUCCUGGGGGACGCCUGAAAACGAGCACACAUACACACAGCAAAGUGUAUAUCUGGCCUCGUAGCAGUCAAGUACAGCAGCGACCCAAUCAUGCUUCGAUAUUCCUUCUGAUCUACAGGCUCUCCGUCCUCAUCAGCAUCCAAAGCUACGCUAGUCGGCAUGGGCGUAGAAAUUGGCUUCGCAUCAUCCAUCGCAAACUUCUUCAGGACAUCCUUCGUGUACUUUCCCUGAUGCACAAAUGUACCUUCCAAAGUUUGUUUUAUUUGUAAGCCAAGAAAGAAAUUCAGCUCGCCCAUCAUAGACAUCUCAAAUUCUUUGCUCAUCACAUCUACAAACUUUUUCACAAGAGCAUGAGAGGAACCACCGAAAAUGAUAUCAUCCACAUAAAUCUGAACUAUUAAAGUGUCAUUUCCUUGCCUGAGGAGAAAAAGAGUUUUAUCAACUGAACCCAUUUUGAACCCAUUUUUAAGCAAAAAAGUUUUCAAUCUAGCAUACCAAGCGCGAGGUGCUUGCUUCAAACCAUAUAAAGCCUUUUGCAACUGAAGAACACGAUCAGGAAAAUUGGGAUGUUCAAAACCAGGUGGUUGUUUAACAUAAACUUCUUCUUCUAUAAAACCGUUCAGAAAAGCACUUUUCACGUCCAUUUGAUAAAGCUUAUAACCACGUGAAGCAGCAAAUGCAAGCAAAAUACGAAUGGCUUCUAAACGAGCAACAGGAGCAAAAGUUUCACCAUAAUCAAUACCCUCUUUCUGAGAAAAGCCCUGAGCAACCAGCCUAGCUUUAUUUCUAACAACAUAACCAUCUUCCCCUUGUUUGUUCUUAAAGACCCAUUUAGUCCCAAUUGGUUUACAAGAGGGAGGAGGAUCAACCAAAACCCAAACCUGAUUCCGUUCAAAAUUUUCUAACUCCUCAUGCAUGGCAUUGACCCAGUUAGAAUCAGAUAAAGCAUGUCCAACAUCUCAGGGUUCAAAAAAGGCAACAAAAGCAGUAUGCGCAAAGACACAAUAAUUUUUAUUUUUCAUACCUUUGUUCCUUGUCGUGCGCUCAUCCAAAUUACCUAUUAUGUUCCUUGCAGGAUGACGAUUCUGAAUGUGUUGUGGUGCUGUACGUUCUGAAAUCGCCUCCCCCUCAACUGCAGCCGGCACCUGAUCAACAGUCGGUGAAGCUGCAGGCGCUGCUGUAGAUGUACGUGUCGACGACGGUCCAUCCUCCAAAGUGGUGGAGGGCGCCUGCUCAGACUGGGCGCCAGGCUCCCCCUGCAUCGCAGGCUGGGCGUCAUCGUCGUCGUCGUCGUUGCAUCCAUCUUCCUCUUUCUCAUCCUCAAAAAUAUCCUGCCCGAUCUCAUCAUCACCUGCACACUCAGAAGCAGAAGAAAAACAAGGCAUUGUCUCGUUGAAGGUGACCUCACAUGUCUCCUCGAUGCGGUUAGUAUCAAGAUUAAGCACACGGUAUGCUCGCCCUUGCAAGGCAUACCCCAAAAAUAACCCAUCAGAAGAACGCGAUUCAAAUUUAUCCAAAUUUCCCUUUUUCAAUAUAAAACACUUGCAGCCAAAGACUCGAAAGUGGAAAACUUUGGGAGGUCGACCAAAUCUCAACUCAUAAGAUGUUUUUCCCAGAAAAGCUCUCAGAAAAAUGCGAUUAGCAACAUAGCAAGCGGUGUUGAUCGCCUCAGCCCAAAAACGUCUAGGAGUUUUAUGUUCAUCAAGCAUUGUCCUAGCCAUCUCAACAAGCGUACGAUUUUUACGCUCAACAACACCAUUCUGGGGAGGAACGUAAGGUGAGGAAAACUGGUGAUCUAAACCUUGUUCUGAACAAAAAGCUUUCAUACGAGAAUUCUUGAAUUCCAUACCGUUGUCACUGCGAAUUGCUCUAACGGCAUUAUUUGACAACUCGUUUUUCAGCUUCAGAACAAGAUCAUGAACAUGUGAAAAAGCCUCAUCCUUAGAUUCCAAAAAGAACACCCAUGAAUAUCGAGAAAAAUCGUCCACAACGACGAGCACAUACCACUUCCCACCAGCGGACCGAACACGGGCUGGACCAACUGUGUCCAUAUGUAACAGCUCACCCGGUCGUCUUGUCAUCACCUGAGUCAUAGGUGCAUGAGAAGCAGCAACCAUUUUUCCAUGUUUGCAGGGAGCACAAACCAAAUCCUUCUCAAAUUUGAGUUUCGGUAAACCAGCAAUUAAAUUCAUGGAACUCAAGCGGCAAAGCAAAUCAAAGCUCAGGUGGCCCAAGCGACGAUGCCACUUUCAAAUAUCAGGGGAACCAUGAGCAACCAAACAACGAGUCUGUCCAAAAGAUUUAGAAAAAUCAACCUUAAAAACUCGUCCAAAGGGAGAAAUCUUGCAAACAAGGUCACCAGCAGAAUCAAGAACUCGCGAAUUGCCUUUCUUAAAACGCACUUCAAAAUCAUCUUCAAGGAGUUGCGAGACAGAAAGCAGAUUAUAAUGCAAAUUUUGUACCUUCGCGACAUCCUUUAGCAUGAAUUUUUCAGAUACAUUGAUGCAGCCAUGCGCCAAAACCUUACCUUUACUAUUAUCCCCGAAUGUAAUAUGUUCCUUACCACUCGCGGGGGUGAGGCUGGAGAACCAUCUGUCAUCUCCGGUCAUGUGGCGCGAACAACCGGAAUCCAUUAUCCAUAUGUUCUCCUCGCCUCCAUCCUGCAGUCAACAAUGAGCAUAAGAGUGAGCUAAUGACUCAACACUGGGGUUAGGAUAAUGCAGAGAAAACCAGUGCUGGGCCACUUGCUCAAAAGAGGCAUUAGCAAAAUCAAAACUCUCGAAAGAUUGACGAGAACCACGAGGGGGAAAAUGUAGCCUAUCAUUCCAGUGUGGUGCAGGAGCACGAGUAUAGCCUGUCAUUCCAGUGUGGUGCAGGAGCACGAGUAUGCGAGCGAAAACCAAAAGAACGACCAGCAAGCUUACGACCCAAAACAGGACGAUCAUGAGUACCACGUGCAGGGUACUGCUCACGUCUCUCAGCACGCUUCCGACGGAAGCAAAACUCAUAGAGAUGACCAUCAUGAUCACAAAAUUCACAAUGGUAAUGCUUAUGUGAAGGAGCAAAAGAAACCUUAGCCUUAGAACCAGAAGCAACAAAUUUAGGCUUAGGCAUAGCAGCAUGAACACAUGGAGAAUCAGAUGGCUUAACAUUCUGUGCAACAUUGAAGUGUUUAGGUUUAGGCACCCAAACCUGCUUUUUAGGAACCGAUCUGGAUGGUUCAACUAACAACCCCUCAGAUGUGACACCUGGACCCUCUUUCCUAGGAGGUGGUCCAGUUACUUAGCCAAAGGUGGAUUAAUUUCAUCCACAGGAGGUCCACUCUUUUCACCAAAAACAUGUUUCAAAUCGUAUCCAGGUCCAAAACGCUCAUCCCGUUUAAUUUGAGCAAUAGACAUACCUAUUUGAGGUUCACGAAUAGAGCACCAACCAAGAAUCACUCUCAAAUGUUUAUUUUCUUCUUCCAAAGCAGAAAACUUUACCCUCAAAUCAUUAUUUUCAGCAAAAAAAAGUAGUGCAAGUCAAACAGGGAGGCAAAACAGGACAAGAAUGUUUCUCCAACUCAGUAAUACGAGAUUUAGCAAGAUUCAAUUCAGAUUGCAGGAUUGGACAAGAAACACAAGCACCAAGUAAAGCAGAACCAGAGUGAAGUUUUUCCAACUCAAACUUAGCAUUUUCAAAUUUAUCAACAAUGGAGGCAUACUUAGAUUGCAACUCAGAAAGUGAAACCAUAUGCGCAGAGCACUCUUCACAUUCUACUUCAGCAGGAGUAGCAUCUUUUAAGACUUUUAAUUCAGAAUUGACUCUAUCAUACUCAGCCUUAAGUUUUACUAAAAUUUUAUUUUGUUUAUCAACAAUUUUUGUCAAUUCUUUAAUUUCUUCUUCUGCUGAAUUUUGUACCUCAUUGUCAGAAGAGUUGUCGCUGCGAUCAGAAGCCACAUCGUCAUCCAAGGCCAUGGUGCACAUCCCUCCCUUGAUGUCGGCGAGGAAGCAGAGUCCGUCAGUUUUCUUUUUGGGCAGCUCAUCCUCGGAGUCUGAAUCACUCGAGUUCGAAGAGGCAUCUGAAACAAAAUCACCAAGAGAAGAAAACAAAACAUGUGUAGCCUUUUUUAUUUGUUUAUCAGUGUACUUCUGGCCAUUCUUCUUCAUGCGCCUGUCACCCUUCUUUUUCUUCUUCUCCCUUGAUUGUUCCUGGCGCCUGGAGUUGUUGCCCUGCUCAAAUGUUCUCAUCUUGUUCGGGCAAUCAGCAGCAAAGUGGCCUUGCUCACCACAGCUGAAACAUCCUUCUGAGCGUCUUCUGUUGCGUCGGUUCUCAUAGACUCUCUUGAAUUUGUUGGAGAGCAGCACCAACUGAUCAUCAUCUAGCGCCUCCAACUCAUCAUCUGCAACAUGACAUAAAGAUGACAAAGCAAAGCUGGGAGAAACUGGAUUAGUGUUAAUGUUAGUCUUACUCCCAGAAACCAAAGCCAUAGGAACAUCAGAAGAAGAAACACCAGUGGGAUUUUUCAAUUUGCGCUUGGAGAGGACAUCAAUCUCUUUUGAUUUGAGCUUAUUGAAAAGCUCAUCAGUGGUAAGAGUCUCAUAGCCAGCGGACUCAACGAUCGCCUCUACUUUCAUAUCCCACUCAUCAAUAAGUGAAUGCAACAAUCUGAGAGCCCUUACAAGGUCAUCAUAAGGCAUAUCCUUAUUAAGGGCUCUCAUUUUGUUUACAAUCACUUGAAACCUUGCAAAAAGAUCUUUAAUGGAUUCACCAGGCAAUUGAGAAAAAGCAUCAAACUCUUUUCUGUGAAUUUCGAAUUUUCGUGUUUUCACAGCGUUGGAGCCUUCAUGAUAUUUCUUUAACUUAUCCCAAAUCUGAAAGGCUAGCUCCUCACUGGAAAUACGAUCAUACUCAGGUUUACAAAGAGAAGCUUGCAAAAUAUCAACUACCCGGUUAUUUGCCUCAAGAAGAGCAACAGCAGCAGGAUCAGUAGGGUCCUCUACAGGAAUCACAUAUGUAGAGUUUUGUAUGAUCCUCCACAGAUUCAUCCCCUUCCCCUUUAAAUAAGCUUUCAUACGCGACUGCCAAUAGUCAUAAUCAGUACCAUCAAAAUGCGGAGCGCGUGUAUUGUAUUUUUCGGCGGUCGCCAUGGUUUUCGUAACCGAUUAAGAUAUAGAAAACCUUAACCUGGCUCUGGUACCAAUUGAAGGACUGAAACUAGCGACCAGAGGGGGGGUGAAUGGGAGCCUCACAAAAAUUCGCGGAAGCAAUUUGAGUAAAAUCAGAAUAAAAUUUAUUUGCAAUUUCCAACACAGAUAAAAAGACAGGGGUAAGCAAAAAGCUAAAUCACGUGAUAAAGACCCACUAAACAAAAUAUUAAACAAAAGAGCACAUGGUUGCAAAAAGGUUGUUUACUGUUCCUAGAAAGUGACCUCACCUUCCCUGGUGCAUGCGUGAGUGAUGUUUCUAGAAACAAUAUUAAUGUGUAAUAUUGAAAGUGCUAAUGAGAAGGAAAUUUGCAAAGCAGAGACACGACCUGCAAGUCACCUGCAGGCACAUGCGUGCGCUGUUCGGAAGCAGAACGCUGUUCCUGGCCGGUCACCUCCCUUGUACGGGGCACACACAGUAAAAUCCAGAGACGUGCGCUUCAGUAGAGCAGGCAGCGUACGAACUAAUCGUACGAGCUCAUCGGCGGCUGGCCCUGGUGCGACGCUGCGAGCCGUGGCUGACCGCCAGGAGCAGACCUUGUCCUCCCGCAACGAUGUGUCCCUGAACAGCAAAACGGGAACAACCAAACCGGCGGCGCAAACAACGAAAACAAAGGGAACGGAGGAAAAUCGGAUCUCGCACGAACAAAGAACAAAUCACAAGGACGAAUGAUUAAAGUGUAAUUAUUCUACAAAAGUGCAUCUAGCCUCCGCCCGAUCGUCCUCCCUCUCUUCAUUGGAGAGAUCAACAAAAAUCCCUCGCUAGUAUUGAAUCCCUAGGCUAGACAAAAAGCGAGAAAGCAAGAGAACCCUCUCAACCCUAGGUGCCACAUAUUUAUAUCCUUAGGGUGGCACGACCUAUUUACACAUAACCCCCUACGCUAAAUAAAUCUAACGUAGGGGCGUAAAUUCCAAUUACGUCCUCCAUGGUAAAUUCCGCGAUGUCCGCAAUCCCUCCAUCUCUACGACGUGAUCUUCGCGAUGUCGCCGCACGACCAUCCGAAAUCGUAUCGCGAUCGUCGGAAUUUCCAUCUUGGGCCAACGCCUGUCGCACGGGCGUCCCGAUACGAUGCAUGGCUUUGUGGCUCAACCAGCGAACCCCGGAUUUUGUGGCAUAAUCCGGAAACCUCCCUCGACGUCCUCCCGCCGUGUAGCCAGGUACAGUAGAUGUACACCGCACGAUCGCCUGUCCCUCGAACGCAAGCCUCGAUCCGCCCUUCUCCGCCCCCGCGGUUUUUCAACGUGGUAUCCUAUCUUCGUUCUUCACUCGUCGCCGCAUGUACCUUGUCUCCACCUGUCACCUGCAACCACAACCUACCAAGAGACACGUCACACGCACACCGUGUUAUCAAUCGCUCAUCACCAAGGUGCUAGCCCACCGGCAUCUCAAUCUCCCCCUUGAUGAUUCCAGAUAGCAUUGGUCGCCUAAAAGACACGUCCGUGUUAGGCGUUUACUACACUAGCUUGUCAGGCAUCAUACCUUGAUCACAAGGAAAUCUUACACAGUUGAAAGCUCUCUGUGCGUACGAUAUAGCAACUUGGAGGGUUCAAUUCCAGCAAGCUUGGGGAACUUAAAGAAUCUUUUUAUCCUCGAUCUCGGUUUCAGGUCGAAGCAGAGCAUAAACCUUUCUCAAGACUACGAAGUUACCAUAGAGCAGAUCAGUAUGAGGGCCAGGCUAUACCCUAUCAACACCUCCCCUCUUGCCCUUUCGGUAAGAUUACCUCAAACUAUAGUCUUUAAUUAAUUAGCCAAGACCAGAGCCAUAUAGUUCCAAGUUUAAUCAUUGAGUUUAUUAAAACCAUCAUAACCCAAGGUAUUGCAACUAAGCAUAUCUACCCAACAAACAGGUAAAACCCAGGUUGACAAGGAAUGAUCAUAAAGAUUAGGUAAACCUUAAUAGGACCCAUCAAUAUUAGAUGCAGAGCAAUGCAAAAGUGAUUAAAUAUAGUUAUUGAGAUAAAAGCACAAGGACACACUUGCCUUUCUCCAAAGAAUAGCUGCUCAGAUUAUCUUCAGCUCUUGUUCCUUAAAGCUCUCGAACAACGUUCCUUCUACUUGCAUCAAUCAUCGGCACAAGCAUACAAAGCAAACAACAAUCAUAACUAAGAACAAUACAUCAAUCAUAGUAAAUCUUUAAAAGAGCGUACUAAAGGAUAAGGCUCGAAUCUAAGGUCAUGCUAACACAAGAAACGCUGGGAACGAAACUAUGGUUGAAAAGACAAAGCUAUCGAGAGAUUUGAAUUAUAAAAGAAAGAGAAGCCUAUGUGCUUCAUAUAUUUUAAUAAAGAAAAGAAUGUAAAUAUAUUUUAGAGAAACAUCCUUAGAAGGUUAUAUUUAUAUAUGAAAAGAUGAUGUAGAACUUAGUCAAAUUUUAUUUAUAAAUAUUCAAGUAAACAUUUAAUUUGAAAAUAAAGUAUAUGUAAACAUCAAGGCGCAUAGCUUUAUGAUUCAGGUUGAACUAACCAAAUAUAAUUCAAAAACAUAUUUAUAUUUAUAUUAGUCAAAUUAACAUAUAAUUAUGAAAACCAAAGAUGUAACUUAUGUAGCUUUUAUUUAGAAAACAAAUUGAAUAAACAUUAAUCAAUUUAAGUUUAAUUAUGAACCACCGUGGUGCAUCUCUAAUUCGCUUUUAAUUGAAAGAGUUAUUUAAAUAAGCAUUAAUAACUAAAUUAACAUUUAUUAUGAAAAGCGGUUAUAACACUAAGUAGCUUUUAAUUAAAGAAGACAUGUUUAACAUGCAUUAAUCAGAUUAAUAUUAAAUUUAUUUUAAAACAUGCAUGAUGGAAAGAUCACUACUAACAUGUAAUUUGUGUUAUCAUGAACCUAAGAAUGGAUAUAAACGGAGCUGUAACGAGGAGUCCAUGGGUUAAACAAGGUUGCAGGGCCUAAUCGCGAUUAACGAAAGGUUAUUGGGGCUAGCGAGGAAGAUUUACAAGACAUUGGAAUAGAGCUCACCAUUAGGUCAAAGCAUAGGGUUACAUCUGUUAAAGUGCGCAGGUUGGACUUGGUUGCACGGAUCCAAUAUAAUCAGGGACAUGGAUGAAAAUAAAUAAGACACAAGGAAAAACUAACUAUUUAAAGAGCUUCCAGGGGCCUAUGCACAGAAGCACCAUAGCUCAGCAUCCGGACGGGCUCCUAGACGGCAAAAUCAUCGUGUCAGAUUUAUAAGCCCAGCAAUGCACCAGGGGGUUACCCAAGUGGUUGAUUUGUAGGUGAGGGUGAUUGCGAAACCAAGAACUCAAAGGUGAUCGCGAGAACACGAAGCGACACGAAGGUUUUAGAUAGGUUCGGAUCUCCAGAGAGUAAUAUCCUACGUUCUGUAUGCUGGUGUGUAUUGCUUGAGAUUGAUCUGAUUGUUGGGAUGCCUUAUAAUGAAUCUAAUCUACUCGAUAGUUACAUAGAAAGUAAUAUGAGUUGGACAACAAUACGCGUUCCAUGAUAUUCGGGCAGAUUUGAACUGUCUUGUUGCCUUGACUUACACUCCAAGUAACUUCAUGCCCUUGGCCCGCACGCCCUGGUCGGGCGGGCCCUACUUGUCAGGUCCAUCUAGUAUCCUAGUUGAUGGGGGCUCAUGGGGUACCCAUAUCCCUCAAGCUCCCGAGCGAUGUGUAGGCGAACAGGAACUUGAGGUCAUCACAGCGAAACUUGAAAUGAAGUCGGCUGAAGCUGCGAAGGCGUCAUGGCGACGGAGAGACUGUGCAGUGCUCAAAAGAAGAAAAUUUGAGCAAACACAGAGCCAACGCAUAGAGCAAAGACGAGUGCUGAGUUGAUGGAUGCUGGCAUCUAGCAGGUCGGAGUGAAGGUUAUGGAGGGUGUCGCAAGACGCACUCCGUAGGAGUAGUCCCCAAGCAUUGAAGCGAUUAAGAUAAUCAGUACAAUGGUCAAAGAAGAAAAAAUUGUCUUCUGAAGCAGAUCCUAGUGCCUGAACACAAGGAUGGGCGCAGCCACAGAGGCCCGCCGACCAGAAGUAGGCACCCAGACCCAAGGACGAGGACUGGCAGGACCGCGGAGCCACGGCGACCUGAAAUAGGCACCCAACCCCCAAGAAUGAGGAGUAGCAGAGCUGCGGAGGCAUGCCGACCUGAAGUAGGUGCCCAGCCCCCGAGGACGAGGACUAGCGGAGCCAUGGAGGCAUACCGACUUGAAAUAGGCGCCCAGCCCCUGAGGACAAGGACUGGCAGGGCCACGGAGGCACGCCGAUAACAAUUAGGCGCCCAACCCUGAGCAUGAGUAUGAGGACUGGUGGAAGCACGUCGAGUCGCCUCCCGCCCUGAGCCGAGGCAGAGAGGUAGGCUGGGCGAUGGGAGGCACACCGAGUCAUCUGCGCCCACCAGCCGCCGAGUCUGGGAGCCGGACGAGUCACAGAAGCAUGCCAAGUCACCUCAUGCCCUGAGCCAGAGAGGUCAGCCGGGUGACGGGAGGCACGCCGUGUCGUCUGCGGUGCCCAGCACCCAAGCCUGGGAGCCGGCUGAGCCACAGAAGCACGCCAAGUCGCCUCCCGCCCUGAGCUAGAGAGGUUGGCCGGGUGAUGGGAGGCACGUCGAGUCGUCUGUGGCGCCCAAUCCCUGAACCUGGGAGCCGGACGAGCCACAGAAGCAUGCCAAGUCGCCUCCCGCCCCGAGCCAGAGAGGUUGGCCAGGUGUUGGGAGGCAUGCCGAGUAGUUUUUGAGCUGUAAAAGGACAAUACAAUCAUUAUGUAGCAUAGUGUAGAUCAUUCAAUAAUUUAACAACUCAGAAGUUUAAUUCGAUAUAGAAGUAAACUCUUGCGCAUCCUGCUAUUGUAGGUCAAGUAAUUUCCCAGGUAGUUAGCCUGUUACGUUUAAGCACCUAGCUUUGCUGACCACUGCUCACGGAGAGGACAGCUUAUCUCAGGCUAUAGCGUUGGGGCUGACCCGAUGCUCGCAUAUAGGAGACGCGCAUGAUGAGUCAAGGUUUCACGAAUUAAGGCGUGUGCUACUCGAGUACUUUAGCAACCGUUAAGAGGGACGGACAAGCCACAAAUCAGCCGGAACUCUACGGAAAAGCACCAGCAUGAGCUGGGCACCCAUGGGGUGUAGCCCUCGACCGCCCGUGUAGUGGACGGACCAAGCUGUAUAAGUAGUCGGGGUGCGAUCAAGGUGGUCGGUGAAAGUCACGGAGACAUAGGAGAGCCGAGGUGGUCGGCGAAAGUCACAGGGACAUGUAAGAGCCGAGGCAUAUGUAGGUAUACGGAAGCCGUAAAAUAUUUAAUUGUAAAUAAGACUUACCUUGAUUCAUGAUUGAGUCGGAGAACCCACAUGUCGUCUUCGCGUUUAGGCUUAGAAGCUCCUGAGCGUGGCCGGCGGACAGUUGUUGGUGAAGCAAACUAGUCGGUCUCCAUGCCCAACUAAUUUGUGUCGAGACUGAGUUGUUGGAGUUGUCAGGGACGCAUCUGUGGUUGCGAUCGUGGUAUGCUGCUGCCGAGUCGACGCGGCCGUCGGGUCGUGGUCGGCUGGCCGCCACGCUCGCAGUACAGCGUGCAUGGGUUGUGCUGCCAAACCAAGGGUGCAUGUACAUCUUUCCGAACCUCGUAAGGAAGCCCUCACGUAUUAAGGAAAUAAGAAAAAAAAUUAUUAGCUGCCGUAGUAAGCACCGAGCAACGUAGGAGAUCUACUGGAUAGAAUAGAUUAAAUAAUAAAGGGAAGGGAGAAUUGUUCCUUUUUUUUCCGUGGCAGAUCUGACGUGUCUGCAGGCAACAAGUUGGGGUCCACGUGUCGUGCUAAAUCAACCGGAGGCGUGGUGCUUGGCCUCCUGCGCCUCGCAAAUCUUCUGCAUCUGGAGCAUCCGCUCUAUGACGAGCUCGUACUGGCACUUCUCGUAGGCGUGGCACUCAGGCUCGCACUUCCAGGAGAGGUAGAACUCGGAGGUGCGCGCACUGGUCGUGGCAGGCGAGCAGCACCCGGGACUCCGCCAUCUCCACCUGCGUGAUGAUCUGGGGCUUCAAGGAGCCGAGCUGCACGCCGGCCGCUGCCGCCGCCUCCAUUUGUCACUUUCUUUCCCUCUCUCACCGGCGAGGUCAUUCUGUCGAUAGAUGGGUGCUGCGGGUUUGGUGCGGCGUGGGUAGGUGGGGUGUAGCAAGGACAUGGAGAGAGAUUGCAUACCUACUGGGCAAGCGGCAUGAUGGUCUUGGAUGGAGAACUUGCUCCAUCGGAGUAAAUCUGAUGGAUGCUGAGUUGACGACGGGCGUCGAGUCGAAGUCCACCGGCAUGCUCCCAAAGCGGAGCUGAAUUGGACUGGCGAGGAAUUCCUUCAUGCUCUUGGGGAAAACAAUGCCGGGGUGGGAUGCCAUCGAGCUCGCUGGGGAGGAUCUCAUAAUCACCUGUACCUGGCGUCCCAAUUGUCGGAUUUAUAAGCCCAGCAAUCCACCAGGGGGUUACCCAAGUGGUUGAUUUGUAGGUGAGAACGAUUGCGAAACCAAAAACUCAAAGGUGAUCGCGAGAACACAAAGGGACAUGAAGGUUUUAGACAGUUUCGGACCUCCGGAAAGUAAUACCCUACAUCCUGUAUGCUGGUUUGUAUUGUUUAAGAUUGAUCUGAUUGUUGGGAUACCCUCGGGGGUGCCCUUGGCCACUUUGUAUAGGCUAACGACCAAGAGGUGCAAGUUGGUUUGGAUCUAAUCUACUCGGUAGUUAAAUGGAAAGUAAUCUGAGUCGGACUACAAUACGCGUUCCAUGAUAUCCGGGCAGAUUUGAACUGUCUUGUUGCCUCGUCGUGCACUCCAAGUAACUUCAUAUCCUCGACCUGCACACCCUGAUCGGGCGGGUCCUACUUGUCAGGUCUGACCAGUAUGCUGGGGUACCCAUAUCCCUCACCUUGGUGCUCCGACAGUUAGGGUCGGCGGCAAGGAUGGGGAUUGGAAGCGGAGAUCGAGGGAACUUUAUGGAGAUGCUCACCGUUCCAUCCGGAAUUUGGCUAGCGGCGGAAGAACAUGGCAGCUAGCUCGGGUCUUUGCAAGUGACGGUACUUCAGUGGUGGAGCGGCAACGAAGAUUGGUGGCAGAGCUGCUCCUCGACGUCACGAAGCUCCCUGAGGCUCCAACUUGCUCCGAUAGUUGACGGGCACAGCGAAUCGGCCAGAGAAGGCCGGCGGCGGCUCUUGGCUUUGGCGGAUGUGGGGUAUGGCGGUGCUCUCGCAAGUUGGGAAGAGCGGCGGAGUGUGGCAGGGCAGCACCAGAGGCACUAUCUCGACUUUAUAGGCACGUGGGUCCACGCCUGCCUUGGCGCACACGCUGAGGUUCGGCGGUGGCGAUGCCUCAAGCUGCCGGUGGCCGAUGGGCCUAGCGGGCUUGGCUGAGCCAUCAGCUGGGCCGGGUCGGUGCGGGUUGGAUGGAGAGGUUCGGGCCCCAAAGGCUUGGCCCGAUCGAUUAGGAUUUUCCUUUUUUUCAGAAAUGAUUUCUCGUGAAUGAAAAAUCUAGAAAAAUUCUAGAUAAUUCAUUUAAACAACAAAAAAACUCUAAAAAUCCAAAAAUUCUAGGAAAAAUCCUAGAGAUAGUUUGGGGGGGGGGACAGGAGGAGUCCAAAUAAAAUACUUGGAGGGCGUGAAAAGGAUUCUAGAGCCUUUCAAAAAUUGGAUUUAGCUGUGGAAAAAAAUGAGAAUAAAUCUUAGAAAAAUAUGGAAAUUCUCAUAAGAACCUAAUUGGCAUCUAAACGUAUUUCAAAACCUUUGCACUCAUGAAAUACCAAGAUGCAUCGGCAUAAAUGCAACACAUACACAGAACCAUUGUAUUUAAUUCAGAAAACACAAUCUUUUUCCUAUACUAAAUUUCCUGUCAAGAAAAUAAAUAUUGGAAAAUUUUAAAAUUAUGAGAAAAUCAUUGUUUAAUUAUUCUUUUUAAUCACAUCCUGAAAUUUCAAAAAAUUUAGGGUCCAAAAUUCUUUUUACGGAAUUUGACAUUCAUGUCCAAAUUGGAUCUAUCCUUCAAUGAUCUGCAAAGUGAAGUGCCUAAAGGGUUUUUCUUGCAAAUGCAACUUACAUGUCGAUUUAUGGAAAUGAUCAGCUUUGUGGUCGAAUACCUCAACUUCAUUUAGCCCCAUGCUCCAUGUCUAGUGCAAAAAAGAAAUAAAGAAAUUUGUCGAAAACCCUUGUGAUCACCCUAACAUCAAUCAAUGCAGUUGUAUUCUCAGUUUCAGUACUUGAUGUAAUUGUGUUGAUCCGUAAGAAGCUUAGGAAGAGGCAUGAAAGUCAACUCAUAUCCACAACUGAGGAACUGUAUGAAAGAGUUUCUUAUCAUGCUUUGUCAAAUGGGACCAAUGGAUUUUCAGAGGACAAUUUACUUGGACAAGGAAGCUAUGGCAUGGUUUUAUAAAUGUACUUUACAUGACCAGGGCACUACAGUAGCUGUAAAGGUGUUUAACACACAACAAUCUGGGACUUCUAGAAGUUUUGUCACUGAAUGUGAGGCACUCAGAAGGGUGCGUCACCGUUGUCUCGUAAAGAUCAUCACUUGUUGCUCAAGCAUCAAUCACCAGGGUCAAGAGUUCAAGGCACUAGUUUUUAAGCUCAUGCCAAAUGGUAGCCUAAAUGGUUGGCUUCACCCAGAGUCUGACACACUUACCCAGACAAAUACUCUUAGCCUUGAACAAAGGCUACACAUUGCUGUCGAUAUCAUGGAUGCUUUGGACUAUCUUCAUAAUCACUGUCAGCCAUCAAUCAUUCAUUGCGAUCUCAAGCCAAGCAACAUCUUUCUUGCGGAAGACAUGAGUGAGUGCCCGAGUUGGAGGUUUUGGCAUAUCAAGAAUCCUUCCAGAAAGUGCUAAUAAAACCCUGCAAAAUUGGAAUAGCGCAACUGGAAUAAGAGGCACCAUUGGUUAUGUUGCACCAGGUAAUGAAAGAGAUGUUUUUGGUAUUUGUAAAAUGUUCUUAGUUCUUACGUAUACAAGACCUGCUGACCUUUGUUUUUUUUCCCAAUCAGAGUAUGGUGAAGGUUCUUCUGUCUCAACUCAAGGUGACGUUUAUAGCCUCGGCAUAUUGCUGCUUGAGAUGUUUACUGGAAGGAGCCCAACGGAUGAGAUAUUCAAUGAUUCUUUGCAUUUGCACAAGUUUUCAGAGAAUGCUCUUCCAGAGAGAAUAUGGGAUAUAGUUGACAAUAUGGAUGCACACAGAUGCCUAUAACAGCACUAUAAGAAGUGGAAUUAAGAAUUGCUUGCUUUCUGUCGUUUCUCUUGGAAUAUCAUGCUGGAAGAAACAACCUAGGGAGCGGAUCCCGAUUCAGGAUGCAGCCAUUGAGAUGCACUCUAUUAGAGAUUCGUAUCUCAAGUUUGCCAGGUCUCUUUUGGUGGAGCAUGGAGUAGUAGCAACAACUCACAGUGAUUUCCCACAACAGUGAAUAUACAUAGGACUGAAAAUGGGCAAGAUGUCUGCAGGUGAUCAGUUUACCUGAAAUAACUGAAGAUGUAUGAAGCUUCAGCUUUAUAAUUCGUCCAUGCAUUUGUUUGCAUCAGAUAUAUGGAAGUAUAAAAUAAGUUUAGAAAAUGUUUCAAAAUAGAUUAGAUCCAGAGGUUUUACUUGUCGUCUGUAUGACACAUUUUUUGUAGAGAAUUCAGUAAUAUGUAUGAUUCAUAAUACAAUCCGUGCUCUGCAAAUUUCAGAUAGCACNNNNNNNNNNNNNNNNNNNNNNNNNNNNNNNNNNNNNNNNNNNNNNNNNNNNNNNNNNNNNNNNNNNNNNNNNNNNNNNNNNNNNNNNNNNNNNNNNNNNGAGAGAGACUAGUGUUCAGUUGGUUGGAAGGAUGAGAGAGAGAGGAGAGUUUGGAUGAUAGAGAGGUUAGUGUUCACCUGGUUGGAAGGAUGAGAGGGAGAUGAGAGAGUUCGGAUGAGGAGGUGGAGAGUUCGAAAGAGAGAGAGGUGAGAGUUUGGAUGAGAGAGAAAGCAGCUUAGAAGGAUGAGAGUGAGAAAGCGGUAUUCAGCUGGAUGGUGGAGACUUCAUAUAUUACUAACUAGCAAGGUGUCCGUGCGUUGCUACGGAGAAAUGACGUUGCUUAGCGCGUAAUGUUUUUUAUCGUGUCGUGUAGCGGACCAUAUUUUUUAUCAUGUUGUGUAACUUUUUUAUUUUAGUUGUAUUAGACUGGCCACUUGAGUGUGUCCAUAUCCCUACCGUGCGGAGACCGCUUGCCAUCGAACUUGUUAUCUCUUUCUCUAUCUUGAGAUUGGUAGGCUUCUACAGCAAUUCUGCACAAAGAAGGCCCCACUUCGCCCCGAUCCCGUUAGUCCCGCGCCUACCCUCUCCCUCUCCGAUCCUUGCCACCAGCUCCUCCUGGUCCAGGUUGGGCCCGUGAUGUAGCGGCCUGUUAUCCUUCCACCGUUGGAAGCGAGCAGUGAUCGCUGCUCUGUGAACCCAACCUCACGCCGUUCCUACCACUUCAGGUCCAAUGAAGCCUGAGCUUUCGCUUGGGCCAAACAGGCCACUACCAACUUGGAACGAGCAGGGCCAGCAAAGGCACACAAUAGAUCCAAGCCCAGAGCCCAGAUACUUACAUUGACAAAGUGUUGAAGCGGUUCAGCAUGGAAGAGGCAAAGAAAGGGUUCUUGCCUAUGUCACAUGGCAUACAUCUCAGCAAGACUCAGUGUCCUUCGACUGCUGAUGAGCGGGAUCGCAUGAGUAGAGUGCCAUAUGCCUCGGCUAUUGGAUCUAUCAUGUAUGCAAUGAUAAGUACUCGCCCAGAUGUUUCAUAUGCGCUAAGUAUGACAAGUAGACACCAAUCUGAUCCAGGUGAGAGUCACUGGACAGCGGCGAAAAACAUUCUUAAGUACUUGAGAAGGACUAAAGAUAUGUUCCUCGUCUAUGGAGGUGAGGAGGAGCUCGUUGUAACAGGUUACACCGAUGCUAGUUUCCAAACCGACAGAGAUGAUUCAAAGUCACAAUCAGGAUUUGUCUUCACGCUAAAUGGUGGUGCUGUUAGUUGGAAGAGUUCCAAGCAGGAGACGGUGGCCGAUUCUACGACAGAAGCCGAGUACAUCGCGGCUUCGGAAGCCGCGAAGGAAGGUGUUUGGAUAAGGAAUUUCCUCAUUGAGCUUGGUGUGUUCCCGAAUGCGUCCAGCCCAUUGAAUCUCUACUGUGAUAACAAUGGGGCAAUUGCGCAAGCAAAGGAGCCAAGGAACCACCAGAAGAACAAACACGUAAUGCGGCGAUUUCAUCUCAUUCGAGACUUCGUUAACCGGGGUGAGAUCAAGAUAUGCAAAAUACACACGGAUCUGAACAUUUCUGAUCCGUUGACAAAACCACUCCCGCAGGCUAAGCAUGAUGCGCAUGUAAGAGCUAUGGGUAUUAGGUACCUUCUAGAUUGACUCUAGUGCAAGUGGGAGACUGUUGGAGGUAUGCCCUAGAGGCAAUCAUAGAGAUGAUGAUAUUCCAUUUGUAUCCAUGAUUUGUAUAUUGUGUUCAUUGAAUAUCCAUUAAAGGCUACUUGAAUUGAUUGCAAUUAUGUGAAUUGUAUGUGAAACUCUUUACUUGUAUGGUUAUUCUAAAGUUGUCCCUAGUCGGAGUUCAUGUAAGGACACACAUGAAUAUAAGACUAGCACAUGUAUUAGUUGAUGACUAUGUUUCACAAGUCAUGGACAUGGAGAUGUUGAACUAAUAAUGUGGACACAUGUGGAGACAUGUGUUAGGACUGACCCAACACGAGAAGUAGUUCUCUCUUUAAACAACAUAUACGCUUUGUCCUUAGACCUGAGAUUGUCGCAUGUAUUCUAGAUGUGGAUCGACCUACUUAGGGGCUAUCAAACGCUACACCGUAACAGGGUAGUUAUAAAGGUAGCUUUCGGGUUUGUCAAGAAGCAUGCUAUGAGACAUGGUCAAUCAAGAUGGGAUUUGCCCCUCUCUGAUUGAGAGUGAUAUCUCUGGGCCCCUCGAGUGAUCGGAUCCGAAAAUGCAUGGCCAUGCUACGUACGGUUAAGAGUUAACCUACAAAGGGAUUCCGAAUCAUAGGAUCGAGAAAGAGUGGUCGGCUUGAAGCUAGACCAAAUAUCGUGAGGCAAAGGGAAUAGCAUGUAUAUCAUGUUGUGAUGGUUCGUCUGAUAUGAUCUUCGUAUACGUAUAGGAGUUGGCACGUCUUGCUAGAGGCCGCUACCGACUAUUGGACCGAGUAGGAGUACUCGGGCCAUGUCUAUACGUAUCCGAACCCAUAGGGUCACACACUUAAGGGGCUGGAAGCCCAAUUCGGAUCUGAUCCGAGUUGGAUUAGGUUUAGGAGUACUAAUGGGCCUCGGAUCCAGAGGCCCGUCAGGAACCCCUAUAAAUAGAGGGGUGGGGGCGCCCUAGGGUUUACACCUUUUGGCGAAACACUUCUGCCGCGCCUCCCACGCCCUCGCCUGUUGCAACUCGCGGAUCUAGCAAUCCGGCUUGCGACGCUUCCUCCCUGCACGUGUGGAUACCUUGGAGGUGUUGCGCCUGCAGCACUUGGACGAGCCAUCGACGAGCCGCCGACGAGCCACGACGAGCCGACGACGAGCCGCGGCACCGGAGGCGAUCUUGCUGUGCACGUGGACGAGCUUGCUGUGCACGUGGACGAGCUGCUGAGGAGCUGCUGGACGUGAUCGACUACGUACGACUACGUGAUCAUCUUCACUGCACCGACGCAUAUCUACAUCUUCCGCACCAGUAGUGCGUCGAGUGGUAAUCCCGUAAUCCUUAUACGGCAGCUCUUCCUGGUUAUACGCGGUAGAAAAUUUUGUUUUGCGCUAGCGUAGCCUACCUCGUAUCCCAACAGUGGUAUCAGAGCCGUAGCUGCUUAGUUUUGGAUUCGGGAUGUGUGCAUAUGGAGAUAUGCGAGUUCUCUGUUUGAUCUAUGUCCUGAUUUCGUGCCCUUGCUGCAAUGGUAGUGUAACGACAUACUCCUACCGGUCGGUUUCCGCCAUCGGAGUUAAGUGAUACACGUAAAUCCAGUUGCAGUGAGGGAAGAUCAAUAUGAUUGGUCAAAUCGAGAUCCAGGGUCAUACGCCAGGCGCAUUAGAUGUGCAAUAGUAGAUGUGAUCUACUGCCGGGGUCGGGAUUUUGCCGUAUGCGCAUGCUUCGGUAAAUCAGCCGUAACUUUUUGGUACGAUCUCGGAUCGGGGCGAUUUCUAUACGAAAAUUGAUCUACAGAAAAAGUUACACAUGAAUUUCAACGGCUUCGCCGUUUUCGGCGAAAUUAGAUUUGCCAAAUUCGGCUUGGAAGAUGGAGUUUCGGGCCUCCCAAGUUUGGAACGUUAGGACGCCUAACUCUCUUUUGCAGGAUGUAUGUAUAUAUCUUGUGAUCAGUAUGGCCCCCUUAUGUAUGUGAUGCAUGUGUGUAACUUAUUCGUGACCUGCGUGUCACGCGUACGGCAACACGGCAGGAGCCAUAUGUGUUGUCACUUUAAUGUAUUUAAUGGUCUGCGUACCAAUCUGUGAUGAUCCAAGCAACUGUGUAAUCUUCAUUACUAGAUUCUUUACUAGCUAUUAGGCGUAAUAGCAUAGUUCUUGGAGGACUCAUCACCAGGAGGAUGGCGCACAUGGAACAUGGAGAUGGAGAUCACCAUGGUGAACAGGUUCUAUGGAGAUGGAGAUCACCAUAUGAAAAACGGGCCAUACUGUGUCACAACUGUGUGAAUGCUAUUCUGUUUAUGUUUUACUUUCUGCAUGCUGUGAUGUUAGAAGUAGAACGAUCCCUCACAAAGUUUAAGUUAGUAUGCCCUCCCAACUAAAACUUGCACCGUCCCAUGUCUUGUACAAUUAGUGGUGGGUCUAUGAAAUUAGGGUGCCACUAGUUUUCCUUGACUAGACGGGUUUGUGUCGGACACUUACACGCAUAAGGGUUGGUUAGCUUAACGAGGUCAUCUUAACGGUUAAGGACCUUGGGGCAUAAAGGUUGGGCGCCGAGACAUAGAGAUGUCACCCAACAACAGGAGUCAUAUGCGAUAUGAUUAGCAAAAGUUGCUUACCGAUCUACCUCGUUUGCUAGCGGUGAUGCUAAAGCUCACUAGUAGACUUGUUAGUUGUGGAUCCUGAAUCACUAAGUUUCAAUAGAGGGAUAUUGAUUUUAGUGGGAGUAGAUUCUGUUAAAAUAGUUUUUGCUCUAUCAUGGAUACGUUUGUCUUAGUGUAUUUUGCAUUACUUUUGUUGUAGAUUAAAUGGCACCUAGCAACACCACCGCAUCGUUUGCUUUGCGUUCGGUCCUUGAGAAGGACAAGUUGAAUGGAACAAACUACUCGGAUUGGAUCCGUAACCUGAGAAUUGUUCUCAGGGAUGAGAAAAAGGAAGAUGUUCUAGACACCCCACUACCACCAGUACCUGUUGAUGAUGCAUCUGCUGCCGUUAAGGCUGCUUACAAGAAGGCAUUUGAUGCUAAUCUUGAGGUAAGCUGCCUUAUGCUUGCUUGCAUGGAACCCGAGCUGCAGAUGCAGUUCGAAACAAAUCAUGAGGCUUACGAUAUGAUCGUGGCGCUCAAGGACAUGUUCCAGACACAGGCUAGGACCGAAAGGUUCAAUGUGUCCAAAGCCUUUCUGGAGUGCAAGUUAGCAGAAGGCGCAGCAGUAGGACCACAUGUAAUCAAGAUGGUUGGUUACACUCAGCGAUUGGAGAAGCUGGGCUUCCCAAUGGGCAAAGAGUUGGCCACUGACUUCAUUCUCUCAUCUCUUCCGCCUAGCUAUGGGAACUUCAUCUCGAACUACCAUAUGCAUGGGACGGAGAAGGGUCUGAAUGAGCUGUGUGGUAUGCUCAAGACAGCAGAGGUAGACAUUAAGAAAAGCGCUAGUACCAGCCAUGUGAUGGCUGUACAGAACAAGCCUACUUUUAAGAAGAAGGGCAAUUCUUGGAAGAAGAAGGGCAAGGCUGGAACGUCCAAGCCAAACCCACCGCCCAAGGCUAAAGCUGGACCUGCUCCAGAUAAAGAGUGCUUUUACUGUCAUGAACUUGGUCACUGGAAGAGAAACUGCAAGCAGUACCUAGCUUCGUUGAAGAACGGCGGAAGUAAGAGUACUUCUACCUCAGGUACGCUUGUUGUUUAUGUUAUAGACAACAUAUUUCUCGCUGAUACAGUUAUUAAUUCUUGGGUAUUUGAUACCGGAUCGGUUGCUCAUAUUUGCAAUUCGAUGCAGGGAAUGAUAAGAAGUAGAAGCGUGGAAAGAGGAGAAGUUGAUUUCCGCGUGGGCAAUAAUGCAAGAGUUGCUGCUUUGACCGUCGGGACGAUGCAACUCCACCUCCCGUCAGGAUUUAUUAUGGAGUUGAAUAAUUGUUAUUUUGUUCCUAGUUUAAGUCGAAACAUUUUGUCUCCUUCAUGUUUGAUGAGGGAUGGUUAUUCAUUUGCGAGUGAAAAAAAUGGUUGUGUGAAAAAAUGAUCUCUAAGAAUAAUAUGUUUAUGGCUUUUGCACCCAUUGUGAAUGGAUUAUUUGUUUUAAAUCUUGAUGGUUCACCUGUCUGUAAUGUAAGUGCUAAAAGGCCUCGGCCUAAUGAUUUGAGUCCUACCUACUUGUGGCAUUGUCGUUUGGGUCAUAUAAGUGAAAAGCGCAUGAAGAAGCUCCAUUCUGAUGGACUUCUAACUUCGUUUGAUUUUGAAUCAUACGAGACAUGUGAGGCUUGCUUGCUAGGCAAGAUGACCAAGACGCCUUUCACAGGAUUUCCUGAGAGAGCAGUAGACUUGUUGGAACUCGUACAUAGUGAUGUAUGCGGACCAAUGAGCACGACGGCUAGAGGAGGAUUCCAAUACUUCAUAACUUUUACUGAUGAUUUUAGUAGAUAUGGCUAUGUCUACUUAAUGAGGCACAAGUCUGAAACCUUUGAAAAGUUCAAGGAAUUUCAGAAUGAAGUUGAAAAUCAGCGUGGCAAGAAAAUUAAGGCCUUACGAUCUGAUCGUGGAGGCGAGUAUUUGAACCACGAGUUUAGCAAUCAUCUAAAGAGUUGCGGAAUUGUUCCACAACUUACGCCGCCUGGAACACCUCAGAGAAACGGUGUGUCCGAGCGACGUAAUCGAACUUUGUUAGACAUGGUUCGAUCAAUGAUGAGCCAGUCGGACCUACCGUUGUCAUUUUGGGGAUACGCUCUAGAAACAGCAGCUUUCACACUUAAUAGGGUACCAUCUAAAUCCGUAGUUAAGACGCCAUAUGAGAUGUGGACUGGAAAGGUUCCUAGUUUGUCUUUUCUAAAGAUUUGGGGAUGUGAAGUGUUUGUCAAGCGACUUCAGUCGGACAAGAUCACACCCAAGUCGGAUAAGUGCAUUUUCGUGGGAUAUCCAAAGGAAACUUUGGGAUAUUAUUUCUACAACCGAUCAGAAGGCAAAGUGUUUGUCGCUCGGAACGGGGUUUUCCUAGAGAAAGAGUUUCUCAAAGGAGAAAAGAGUGGAAAAACAGUGCAUCUUGAAGAAGUUCAAGAUGAGCCAAUCGGGCAAGAAUCAAUGAGUGAUGCUAACGUAGCAGAACAAGUUGAGAUACCCAUGGCAAGAGAAGCACCGCCACAACCACGAAGGUCGGCAAGGCUCCGCGAAAUGCGGGAAAUAUUAUUGUUGGACAAUGAUGAGCCUGCGACAUAUGCAGAAGCAAUGAUGGACCAAGACUCCGAAAAAUGGCAGAGUGCCAUGCAAUCCGAAAUAGAGUCCAUGGGAGACAAUCAAGUUUGGAACUUGGUUGACCCGCCUGAUGGUGUUAAGGCCAUAGAGUGCAAGUGGAUCUAUAAGAAGAAAAAGGACAUGGAUGGAAAUGUUCACAUCUAUAAAGCACGACUUGUCGCAAAAGGUUUUCGACAAGUUCAAGGAGUUGACUACGAUGAGACCUUCUCGCCCGUAGUGAUGCUUAAGUCCAUUCGGAUUAUUCUAGCUAUAGCUGCAUAUUUCGAUUAUGAGAUAUGGCAGAUGGAUGUCAAGACAGCUUUCCUGAAUGGAAACCUAGCUGAGGACGUGUAUAUGAUACAGCCCGAGGGUUUUGUCGAUCCGAAAAAUGCUGGAAAGGUAUGCAAGCUUCAGAGAUCCAUUUAUGGAUUGAAGCAAGCAUCUAGGAGUUGGAACAUUCGUUUUGAUGAAGUGGUCAAAGGGUUUGACUUCACCAAGAACGAAGAAGAGUCUUGUGUUUACAAGAAGGUUAGUGGGAGCUCUGUAGUAUUUCUAAUCUUAUAUGUGGAUGACAUAUUACUGAUUGGAAAUAACAUUCCUAUGCUUGAGUCCGUAAAGACUUCACUGAAAAAUAGUUUUUCGAUGAAGGACUUAGGGGAAGCGGCAUAUAUUCUGGAUAUUAAGAUCUAUAGAGAUAGAUCGAGAAGGCUUAUAGGUUUAAGCCAAGAUACUUACAUUGACAAAGUGUUGAAGCGGUUCAGCAUGGAAGAGGCAAAGAAAGGGUUCGUGCCUAUGUCACAUGGCAUACAUCUCAGCAAGACUCAGUGUCCUUCGACUGCUGAUGAGCGGGAUCGCAUGAGUAGAGUGCCAUAUGCCUCGGCUAUUGGAUCUAUCAUGUAUGCAAUGAUAAGUACUCGCCCAGAUGUUUCAUAUGCGCUAAGUAUGACAAGUAGACACCAAUCUGAUCCAGGUGAGAGUCACUGGACAGCGGUAAAAAACAUUCUUAAGUACUUGAGAAGGACUAAAGAUAUGUUCCUCGUCUAUGGAGGUCAGGAGGAGCUCGUUGUAACAGGUUACACCGAUGCUAGUUUCCAAACCGACAGAGAUGAUUCAAAGUCACAAUCAGGAUUUGUGUUCACGCUAAAUGGUGGUGCUGUUAGUUGGAAGAGUUCCAAGCAGGAGACGGUGGCCGAUUCUACGACAGAAGCCGAGUACAUCGCGGCUUCGGAAGCCGCGAAGGAAGGUGUUUGGAUAAGGAAUUUCCUCAUUGAGCUUGGUGUGUUCCCGAAUGCAUCCAGCCCAUUGAAUCUCUACUGUGAUAAUAAUGGGGUAAUUGCGCAAGCAAAGGAGCCAAGGAACCACCAGAAGAACAAACACGUAACGCGGCGAUUUCAUCUCAUUCGAGACUUCGUUAACCGGGGUGAGAUCAAGAUAUGCAAAAUAAACACAGAUCUAAAUAUUUCUAAUCCGUUGACAAAACCACUCCCGCAGGCUAAGCAUGAUGCGCAUGUAAGAGCUAUGGGUAUUAGGUACCUUCUAGAUUGACUCUAGUGCAAGUGGGAGACUGUUGGAGGUAUGCCCUAGAGGCAAUCAUAGAGAUGAUGAUAUUCCAUUUGUAUCCAUGAUUUGUAUAUUGUGUUCAUUGAAUAUCCAUUAAAGGCUACUUGAAUUGAUUGCAAUUAUGUGAAUUGUAUGUGAAACUCUUUACUUGUAUGGUUAUUCUAAAGUUGUCCCUAGUCGGAGUUCAUGUAAGGACACACAUGAAUAUAAGACUAGCACAUGUAUUAGUUGAUGACUAUGUUUCACAAGUCAUGGACAUGGAGAUGUUGAACUAAUAAUGUGGACACAUGUGGAGACAUGUGUUAGGACUGACCCAACAUGAGAAGUAGUUCUCUCUUUAAACAACAUAUACGCUUUGUCCUUAGACCUGAGAUUGUCGCAUGUAUUCUAGAUGUGGAUCGACCUACUUAGGGGCUAUCAAACGCUACACCGUAACAGGGUAGUUAUAAAGGUAGCUUUCGGGUUUGUCAAGAAGCAUGCUAUGAGACAUGGUCAAUCAAGAUGGGAUUUGCCCCUCUCUGAUUGAGAGUGAUAUCUCUGGGCCCCUCGAGUGAUCGGAUCCGAAAAUGCAUGGCCAUGCUACGUAUGGUUAAGAGUUAACCUACAAAGGGAUUCCGAAUCACAGGAUCAAGAAAGAGUGGUCGGCUUGAAGCUAGACCAAAUAUUGUGAGGCAAAGGGAAUAGCAUGUAUAUCAUGUUGUGAUGGUUCGUCUGAUAUGAUCUUCGUAUACGUAUAGGAGUUGGCACGUCUUGCUAGAGGCCGCUACCGACUAUUGGGCCGAGUAGGAGUACUCGGGCCAUGUCUAUACGUAUCCGAACCCAUAGGGUCACACACUUAAGGGGCUGGAAGCCCAAUUCGGAUCUGAUCCGAGUUGGAUUAGGUUUAGGAGUACUAAUGGGCCUCGGAUCCAGAGGCCCGUCAGGAACCCCUAUAAAUAGAGGGGUGGGGGCGCCCUAGGGUUUACACCUUUUGGCGAAACACUUCUGCCGCGCCUCCCACGCCCUCGCCUGUUGCAACUCGCGGAUCUAGCAAUCCGGCUUGCGACGCUUCCUCCCUGCACGUGUGGAUACCUUGGAGGUGUUGCGCCUGCAGCACUUGGACGAGCCAUCGACGAGCCACCGACGAGCCACGACGAGCCGACGACGAGCCGCGGCACCGGAGGCGAUCUUGCUGUGCACGUGGACGAGCUGCUGAGGAGCUGCUGGACGUGAUCGACUACGUACGACUACGUUGAUCGACUACGUACGACUACGUGAUCGUCUUCACUGCACCGACGCAUAUCUACAUCUUCCGCACCAGUAGUGCGUCGAGUGGUAAUCCCGUAAUCCUUAUACGGCAGCUCUUCCUGGUUAUACGCGGUAGAAAAUUUUGUUUUGCGCUAGCGUAGCCUACCUCGUAUCCCAACAGCGCACCAGGCAGCACGGGCGGCCGGGGCCGGGGAGGCGACUCUGGCGUGGCCGGCUAUGGUGGGCAGGGAGAGGCAGAUGGUGGCGCAACGGCGGCAUGGAGAGACGGACGUCGGGCACGGACGGGUGAAAGGGGAGAUGGGGAAAGAAAGCUGGUCCCACCUGCCAAUGCAGCCGGGGUCGGGGUGGGGCGGGCAGCGAGGCCGAGGCCGGGCGGCACGACCGGGGCCAGGGAGGUGGCUCUGGCGUGGCCGGCUGUGGUGGGCGGGGAGACUCGGACAGCGGCGCAACGGCGGCACGAAGAGGUGGACGUCGGGCACGGACGGGUGAAAGGGGAGACGGGGAAAGAAAACUAGACCCACCUGUCAAUGCGUUAAUCUUACCUAUUAUUAAACAUCAGGGCGACCUCUCGUUGAAAAAAAAAAAUGGGCACAAGUGUUCCUCACUUUAAUAAUAAUAAUAAAGUAUAGAUAAUGUAUCAAAUAGCAUUUGUAAUUUAAUUCUAAGAAAAACUUUCUCAGUACCAAACAAGAAAAUUCAAUUGAAUCAAAUUCUACGGAAUCCAUUUCUUAUGGAAUCUAAUUGCUAGAAUAUGAUUCAUGGAAUAAGUUUCAACUCUAGGGAUCCAAACAUACCCGUAGUUAUUUCUUAUGCAGCUCAAAUCAGACGCAAGGUACGUCCUAACUAAAAGACGUAAGUUACUUUAUGUUAUCUUGUGAAUCAGUGAUUAAUUACUUCCAAUCUUAUGUAAAAAGAACUACGAGUUAAAUUCUUUGUCAGAUUUAUACUGACAAGUUACAAGCACAUGCCUCUGCAGUAACAGGCGAGCCCUAGACUAGUGGGCAAACCAAAAACAACAUGGUUCGUCAACUGAUCGAAUGCUAAUGACUAUUUUGCUAGGAGAAUGAACAUGAUUCAUACAAAAAAGGGGAGUUAGUAAAAGGGGAGCUACUAACUUGGUCAAGGUCUCCGUCCUCUGGCGUGGGGAAGGGGCCAUCUUGCUCCACUCCACGUCUGCGUGGUUGCUCGGCGGGCGCGACGGCGUCGGGUGCGGAGUGCUGACGGCGCGUAGAUAUGUCAUUGUUGAUCAGGACAUGCACUUCUAUCACCAUCUGUGGUUGGCGUCCGCGGCCGAGCGGGUCAAGGUCUCCGUCCUCUAGCGUGGGGAAACAGGAUCUCUUCAAUCAGUGCUUCUACAGAAACGGUGCACGGUCACCACGGACCAACGACAUACCAUGAGAAAAGCAGAGCUAAAUGUUGCAGUAGCAGAGUAACCGGAGACUGCAGAGCACUUGCUGCUAAAAGCUGCCUCUUAUUUUGUAUCGUCUUAACAGAAGACUUUAAGUCAGCCGCCAUUCGAUUCGAAUAUAAACUAGCAAGUUGGCCCGCGAUAAUAGCGCGGCUAGAUUUGAUACAUGUGCAUAUGCACGCCUAAUUAAAAUUGCUCACUUGUAACAAAAUAAUAACAACUUGAGUAGUUGAUUAUGAUCUUAUGUUGCAGUUUUUGCCAACUUUUCCUAGUAUUAUUGUGUUGAGUAGAAAGCCUGUGUAGAAAAAGAUACAAAACAAACAAUAGUGUCAACUACUCUCCAUGCUUGCUCAAAUGAUUUUGAAAAAAAAAAACAACCGCGCUCUAAGUCCUAGGGCGGUGAUAUUCCUCCUUACUUUCCUCCUCUCGUUUUCCUUGCACAAUCCAGGAUGACAAAUACCACAAACCACUUAGGCUCGAUCAUGUUUCAUCAUCACAUUCCUCAAAUCUUGAUCACGUUGUUGUCUUCGUUAUGCUAGCAGUACACAUCUCUCCGCCUCAUAAGAUUACUAAGGUCUCAUAAGAUUUUUGAUGGAUUUGCAUUAAUAUUAAUAUUGCCACCAAUCUAGUCUCAACCUUGCUUGUGUUCUCCAUGGUCAUGUUUUAUUCAAACUUGCAAGACCUACAAGCGCAUAUGAUGGUUCUUCUAUAUACAUAAUAUAUCGCAUCUCCUAAGACAUAUAUCGCGGGCCGGCGGCGCGCGGGGGAGCGGCGCCGGUGGAGCGGAGGCGACCGGCGGUGGGCGGAGGCGGGUGGGUGCGGGCGCAGGCGGAGGUGGGUGGGCAUGCGGGGGAGCGGCGCCGGCGGAGCGGAGGCGGGUGGGCGCGGGCAUAGGCGGAGGCGGAGGCCGGCGCGGGCGCGUGCGGAGGCGGACGGGUGGAGGCGUGCAGCGGCGGGCGGGCACGGGCGAGUGGCGGCUGGGCCGGCGGCGGCCUCGCGGCACGGGUGGAGGCGGAGACCAGCAACGGCCGGGCAGCCCUCCGGCGAGCGUGGGGCUUUUUUUUUAUUUUUUUCAAAAUUUUUUAGUCCCGGUUGGUAGUUGGUAACACCAAUUGGUACUAAAGGGGGCCUUUAGUUCCGGGUGGAUUACCCGGGACUAAAGACCCCCUCUUUUGUCUUGAAAAAUUUAUCCCGGAUAGCUUAGAGAGAUUUGAGCCUAUCCAACCGGGACUAAAGGUGAGUUUUCCAUCGGUGAAUGUCAGAGGAGGCUCAUCCUAAAUGGUGACACCAUGCUGAUCAUGCAAUUUAUCAUUAUUUUAUCGCCCUCAUGCAUGCUGCAUGAUAGAUAUUGGUACUGGGCAGCUUAGAUUCCUCAGCGCAUCAUGCUGCUCAGCCAUGGAGGUCAAGUCAUCACUAUUGUCCAUAUCACAACGCCUCUGCCUUCUCUUGUUGUCCUCCCCCUUCCCUCUACCUUGCACCUUCUUGUUUUGCUGAUCCUAUUGUCAGUUUGUUGCAGCCAUUUAUGGGCACCUCUUUCAUCCAUUGUCCACUGUUGUUGCCCGCUGCCUCAGUUCUUCUCUGACCAAAGCGGUCGUAUCGCGCUGGUCGGUAGGAAGCCAUCGUCUCGCAAAAGCAUAGUCGUCGUCGCCAAACCACAUCUAGCCGAUGCCGAACCAUACUUUUGCCAUCUUGUUUGCCAACUUGCCGCUAUGGAAGCCUCCAUGCAUCGCUCAUCGAGUCUAUCCUAUCUCUAUCAGCUCCUGUGGUAUCCUGUUUUGUUUUUGCCUCAACCACGAAGCCAUAGGUUGCUGGUGCUAAAUUGCAGGGCCAGCAACAGGUAUUUCCUCUCCCUGGCCUUGCGGCCAUGCUAUGUAUUUUUCUCUCUCAAAAAAAAUUCCAAUGAUUUAAUCCUAAUGUUCCGAUCAUGUGUGAUUGGUUUAUUAAUUAAAGUUAGAGUUAUACUUUAAGUAUAUUAUAUAAAAAUAAUAUAUAUAUAUAUAUGUAUAUAUAAAAGUUACCAUGCAAAGUACAACUUCCAAUAAGGUGGAGAGGUUCGGAUGGAAUUUUGAUUCAACUUACUCUAUUCUAGAUAUUAGAGUUGUACUAGCAAAAUACCGCUACGGUAAAAAAAUCAAUUGGGUUUUUCAAACUAAUAAUAUUUUUUAUUUCCAUCACUAAAUUUUUAUUCCACUUAUUGGAUGUCCACACAUUUUAAUAGAAAACUAAAAAAUGUUUGACUAAUUAUUUCCUUCACUCAAAUACCCAUUAAAUUAAAAUAUUUUUUUAUUCAAGCAAGAGAGUUAAAUCAGCCUCCGAUGGCCACCGAUGGGGGCUCUUUAGUCCCGGUGGGUAAUAUCAACUGGGACUAAAGAACCCCUUUAGCCCCGGUUGUAAAAGCUAGUGGCCCUCGGGAUUCUGGUGGAGUGUUUUGUCCCGGUUGCAACUACCAACCAGGACUAAAGGAGACCUUUAGUUCCGAUUGGUGUUUCCAACCUGGACAAAACGCUCCCCGCCUCCACACACACAAUGCGCGUGUCCCACUUUCUCUCCUCCCUCUACUUAAUUCCAGUGCCUAUGCCUCCUCUCCUUAAUUCCAACACCCACAUGCCUCCUCUCCUCCUCCCUUCGGUCCCUACCUCCUCUCCUCCCUCUCUUCCUCCGCCGGAUCCGGCCGGCCCCCACUCCCUCUCCCCAAGCUCCUCCCUCUCCCUCGGCCGCGCAGGUCAGGCGGUGCGGCCGGGGCCGGGGCGGCGUGGGCGGUCGGGGCUCGGGAGGAUGACAGGUGGUUAUGAGGAUGAUACCUGCAGACAAUACUUUUAAUCCCUCAAUUCUUACCGAGAAUUGCACUAUGAACUGCGCUUUCAUUUAUGCUACACCGCUCAGCUAUAAAAAAGGUGCAAAUCGACCAAAAUAAAUGAAUAAACCACACGGUUUAGACUGGUGGCAUCUAUAUGUUUGAUGAGUUUUGAAUCCCAACAGACCUCUGUUUGCUUAUCCAACAGGAGGAAAAAACUUUACUUACUAAAUCAGCUUUGCAUGCCAGGCUGCAAUUGUUAGAGCAGGAUUGGGUAAUUUGUGAACAUAAUUGAAUCAAAGUUUUGUCUCAGACUAGUAAUAGAAAAUGGUAAUGCUCCAUAGCUAGAACACGUUCCUACACUAGUUUAAAAAAUUCCCUGAAAUUGGGAACAAUGGUCAAGCCCAAACCAAACUUGGAACUUGGAAGGCCGCUGGCCAAUGUCAAAGUCAAAAAACAGAAGCAGACAGCGACGUCUCACCAGAUCACGAAUCAGCCUUAGGAUUAAUACGCUCUGUCUGGCAAUGCGGCAAUGCGCGUAGCUCCCCUGCUGACCAAGAAAAGCAAGCUCCGUCUGGCAGCAAGCUCUUCAAUACGCUCCAGCCCAGCUCUACCAUGGCAUUGGCAAUGCGCGUCGUGAGCUUGCUUCCUGCCACCAUCGCCGUGAUGAUCGCAGCAGCCUCCUGGGGAGCGCACGGCGGUGCCAGCGACGAGGCCAGCGCGCUGCUUGCUUUCAAGGCUGAGCUCGCCGGCAGCGGCUCCGGCAUGCUUGCAUCCUGGAAUGGCACCGCUGGCGUCUGCGGCUGGGAGGGCGUGGCGUGCACCGGCGGCCAGGUGGUGGCACUGAGCCUGCCCUCCUAUGGGCUCGCCGGAGCCCUCUCCCCGGCCAUUGGGAACCUCACUUUCCUGCGGACCCUGAACCUGAGUUCCAACUGGUUCCAGGGGGAGGUCCCAGCAAGCAUCGGCCGCCUAGCGCGUCUGCAGACGCUUGAUCUGAGCUACAAUGCGUUCUCUGGUACGCUUCCUUCCAACCUCAGUUCCUGUGUCAGCUUACUGCUGUUGAGGCUCAGCAGUAACCGGUUCCAUGGGCGUAUCCCUGUUGAGCUUGGAGACAAGCUAACAAGUCUUCAGAAGUUCUCACUGGGCAACAACAGCUUGACGGGUGCCAUACCAGGAUCACUAGGUAACCUGUCAUCCCUGAACUACCUUGAUCUGACAGAAAACCACCUCGAGGGUCCGAUCCCACAUGAACUUGGCAGCAUGGGCGGCCUGAAGGUCCUUUUACUCUAUGAGAACAGACUCUCCGGUGUGCUUCCACACUCCCUGUACAAUCUGUCCUCACUGAAAAAGUUGGAUGUAGGAAACAACACGCUGUCUGGAACCAUCCCUGCUGAUAUCGGCGAUAGGUUCGCCGGUAUGGAAGUUCUUGACUUUAGUAGCAACCGAUUAAGUGGAGCUAUCCCACCUUCGCUCGGCAACCUCUCUGCUCUCACAAAACUAAACCUUCCAGGAAAUGAUUUUAUUGGAUAUGUGCCUUCUGCUUUGGGGAAGUUGCAAAGUCUUACUGACCUGUUCUUGACUGACAACAGGCUAGAAGCAAACGACAGUCAAGGGUGGGAAUUCAUCACUUCACUGGCAAACUGCUCCCAGCUUCAGUAUCUUGUUCUCGGCAACAACUCUUUCAGCGGGCAACUGCCUAAUUCAGUCGCAAACCUGUCAUCAACUCUGCAACGUCUUUAUUUGGGAGACAAUAUGAUUUCUGGGAAUAUUCCAAUAAACAUCGGAAAUUUGGUUGGUCUUACAGUACUUGAGAUGGCAAAUACUUUAGUAUCUGGACAGAUUCCAGAGAGCAUUGGUCAGCUAAGAAACUUGGGUGUGUUAGGCCUUUACAACACUAGCUUGUCAGGCCUCAUACCUUCAUCACUAGGAAAUCUUACACAGUUGAAUAAUCUUUAUUUAUACUAUGGAAACUUAGAGGGGCCAAUUCCAUAAAACUUGGGGAACUUAAAGAAUGUGUUUGCCUUUGAUCUCUCAACAAAUCGACUCAAUGGUUCAAUUCCUAUAGAGGUUUUAAAACUUCCUCGACUUUCCUGGUACUUAGACUUAUCAUAUAAUUCAUUAUCCGGACCACUUCCAACUGAGGCUGGUACCAUGGUGAAUCUUAACGAACUGAUUCUGUCUGGAAACAAGUUGUCAGGCACCAUACCAGCUAGUGUUGGGAACUGUAUAUCGUUGGUAAAGCUGCUGCUCGAUAACAACUUAUUAGAAGGAAGCAUACCUCAAUCUCUGAAGAACUUAAAAGGUCUUGCAUUACUGAACCUAACAAUGAAUAAGCUAUCUGGUAGUAUUCCUGAUGCCCUUGCUAGCAUUGGCAACCUGCAACAACUGUAUCUUGCACACAACAACUUGUCAGGUUCCAUCCCCAAAGUUCUACAGAAUUUGACAUUGUUGGCAAAACUGGAUUUGUCCUUCAAUGAUCUGCAAGGCGAAGUGCCCAAAGGGGGUCCUUUUGCAAAUGCAAUUCG
rnacentral:lncRNA from 1 species